rnacentral:rRNA from 1 species
UACGGGGGGGGCAAGCGUUGUUCGGAAUUACUGGGCGUAAAGGGCUCGUAGGCGGCCAACUAAGUCGGAUGUGAAAUCCCCAGGCUUAACCUGGGAACUGCAUCCGAUACUGGAUGGCUUGAAUCCGGGAGAGGGAUGCGGAAUUCCAGGUGUAGCGGUGAAAUGCGCAGAUAUCAGGAGGAACACCGGUGGCGAAGGCGGGUCUCUGGGCCGUAACUGACGCUGAGGAGCGAAAGCAUGGGGAGCGAA